GGUCACUUUCACGGGCACGG
rnacentral:misc_RNA from 1 species